rnacentral:SRP_RNA from 2 species
UUUAGGGUAUUUUCGAUGUAAGCCUAUGAAACUUGUCAGGUCCGGAAGGAAGCAGCAAUAAGUAGAAACUGUAUGUGGAAAUAUCCUAAAAUG